AUCGGUUUGUGGUACAGACCUAUUUAUGCCAAGCGGUUUUAUUAAAGCAGUUCUCAGUUCGAGCGUUAUCUCCGAUAUCUCUUUCCCUGAUUCUUCUUAUUACCUUGCUCAUAAGUAUUAUCUGCAAAGCAAUCCUGUCCGCCCGUUAAAAGGCUUAUGAAAUUCAGAGGAAAGUAUUAUGUCUAACAAAAUGACUGGUUUAGUAAAAUGGUUUAACGCUGAGAAAGGUUUCGGCUUUAUUUCUCCUACCGAUGGCAGCAAAGAUGUAUUCGUACACUUCUCUGCAAUCCAGGGCGAUAGCUUCAAGACCCUCGACGAAGGUCAGAGCGUUGAGUUCUCUGUUGAGAACGGCGCUAAAGGUCCUUCAGCGACCAACGUUAUCGCACGUUAAGUGAUAACGCCGCAGGCGUCUUACAACAGCGAUGAUGGCAGCGACCGGAGCAGUUAAGCGCCUGUAAAAGAAAACCCGCCUUGUGCGGGUUUUUUU
rnacentral:sRNA from 1 species